CAGGGAUUGCCCUAGUAACGGCGAGUGAAGCGGCAACAGCUCAAAUUUGAAAUCUGGCUUCGGCCCGAGUUGUAAUUUGCAGAGGAUGUUUCUGGCGCGGUGCCUUCCGAGUUCCCUGGAACGGGACGCCACAGAGGGUGAGAGCCCCGUAUGGUUGGACACCAAGCCUGUGUGAAACUCCUUCGACGAGUCGAGUAGUUUGGGAAUGCUGCUCAAAAUGGGAGGUAAAUCUCUUCUAAAGCUAAAUACCGGCCAGAGACCGAUAGCGCACAAGUAGAGUGAUCGAAAGAUGAAAAGCACCUUGAAAAGGGGGUUAAACAGUACGUGAAAUUGUUGAAAGGGAAGCACUUGUGACCAGACUUGUGCCGGGCGGUUCAUCCGGGGUUCUCCCCGGUGCACUCCGCCCGGUAUAGGCCAGCAUCGGUUCUUUCUGGGGGAUAAGAACGGUGGGAACGUGGCCCUCCCUCGGGAGGGUGUUAUAGCCCGCCGUACGAUACCCUGGAGGGGACCGAGGUUCGCGCUCCGCAAGGAUGCUGGCGUAAUGGUCACCAGUGACCCGUCUU
rnacentral:rRNA from 1 species